CAGUACAAGAGGGCGGUACAAAGCAGGCUGUCACUCCCUCAGGGGUGGGAUACAGCAGGGCUUUCACUCUCAGGGGGCAGGAGAAAGCAAGAUGGUCACAACCUCAGAGGUGGUAAAAAGCAGGGUUUCCACGGCCAGAAGGGCGGGACAAAGCAAGACUGCCACAGCCAGAGGUUCCGGACAAACCAGGUCUGUCACUCUAAGAGGGCUGGACAAAGCAGGGCUCUCACUCACAGGGUGUGGGAUGAAUAAAAAAGAAAAAGAGGAAAACAGGCAUCAAAUUUCACAAGAGGAAAACCAAAAGUCCAUAUCUGCAGAUGACAUGAUUAGGCCCUUGGAAACACCUGCACAGCCCAUCAAAAAGCUGUGACUACGGAUGAACUAUUCAAGAGGUAGGUAGGUCACGCAGUCCGUACCUAACGUGGUCUCGGGCCAUUCCCCCGUGCUGACAGACCCCAGACUGGGAUUUCAUCCUACCCACAGUUUUCACAUGAUUCCCCUUCGAAAAGGGGAAGGAGCUAGGCUUCUUCCGUGCUGAGACUGGCGGCCACCUCUCACAGACUCCGAGGCAUGAGGCACCUGUGGCAGCUGUGUGCAGCCACAAGCCGGGGUCUCAGGAUGCUUCUCUGAGCUCACAGUAACUGUUGCCAAGCAACACAACUGCACAGGCGUGCCUGGCUCAGGAGCUCUGUGGGCUGCGCAGGCACACAGAAGCCUGGUGGCUAGGAGUGCUCAGUGCGCAUGUGCGGGGGAAUCAGAGCACGUGGUUUGCUUUCCAAGGUCAGUGGGAAUUGACAAAGCCUUGGUGACAUUUUGGGAAAGCGGUCCCUGCAGCCAGCACGACUAAACUGGUGCAGAGUGUCAGGAUGCUGAAGGCCUCAUGUAGAGUUAACUCCCUUGAAACCCCUCUCUCAGAAUCGCCUGAUCCCAAAGUGGAUUCCCCCUGCACAUCCCCUGGGGUCCUAGUCAGUUUCCAUGGGAAUGCAAGAAAGGAAGCCAUGAUUUCACACACACACGUCGUAUAGAUACCACAAAGGCAGUCACACAUUUCCUUUCUAGAAACUCUUUCUACUACUGAUACACCACUAAACCAAACUUUUGUUCCUGUCUACCUUUCAUUUCACAUCAGCAAAAUGAUGGUUAAUACUUUCACCAGGGAUUGUCAGUCAGUUCAUUGGAGUCCUGGGUUGAUAACAUUCUCCUCCUCUUCUCCUAAUCCUCAUCUGGAUGUCACGUCUAUAAAAUGUUAUUGAUCCAUUCGUGAAAACAUUGAUUCCUGUGAAUUUGAAAUCAAUGCACAAACCUAUCCUCUAUUCAUGAAUAUUCCAAUACAGAAAAGCAGUCCCAAGAAAGACUUCCAGAAGUUUGAA
rnacentral:lncRNA from 1 species